UCUCGUUUUUGGACCUUUUUGCGUCUUGCCUUUUUGCAUUUUUGUCGAGGCUACCGCCUACCGCCUCCUAGUGGCCUGACCUAAAAAUAGGCUGAAUGGACUGCUACUGCUGUUGUGGUUAUUUGUUUGCUUGUGUGGUGUUCAUGUGUGUCCUGAACAAUAUAUUCCAUUUUUGAA